CUGUUGGUAAAUUAAGGAACAUUUGUAUUGAAUAAAAAGUGAGUUAACACAUCAUCAACAUGUAAAUGUAGUAUUGAGCACAUAAAUCUCAGAGGAAACUUGAAUCUCGUCUGAUGUUACAGGGACAGAUGAUCACGUGUGUUUAUCCAGUGGAGAGAGGCUGAUGAAGGAAUGAUGCCAUCAAAGGCUUUGAAGCUUUUGUGGAGCAGGACCUGCAAGGCAAGAUGACGGCGGCAUUUGUGGGGAAAAGAAACCUGAAUAAUGAGUGAAUUUAUAUGUUUGGGUGAACUAGCCCUUUAAGCCCCCAAUUUACAUUUAUUUACAGGUUUGCUUUUGGUAGAUUCUUUUAUCAAAAGUGACAUACAGUGCUCUUAUUACAGGGAUGAUCCCCAUGGAGUAACCUGGAGUAAAGUGUCUUGAUUAAGGACGGUGACAGCUGCGGAGAUUGAACCAGCAACAUUCUGCUCACCUUUAGCCCACUACACCACUAAAAUAAUAAAGCUGAAACAAAAAAAUAGCACAUAAUUGUAAAAAUAUUGAAUGAAAUAUGGCAGGAAAUAGAAUUCUGACAUGAAUUAUUAAACGUUUCAAUCAGUUUAAAUGUUUUACAUGUAGUCUUGUUCAUGGAGAGCACAUGAAUGUUUGGAGCAGACAGAGUAUCUUCUCCCACUCUUGCUUCAAGGUUGUGGCAUUCAGCGGUCCAUCAUCAUCUUCCUCAUCCUCUGGAUCAAAGAUGUCUCCAUUGAGAGGAGCAGCAAUGAGGGACAUUAUAGAUGGCAAAGACAGGCGAAGGUGUUCGUGGUGGUCAGCUGCUUCAUCAGAAUAAAGCUGCAGAAUUGGCACAGCUGUGUUGAGAUGGCAGAAGGACUGUAAAUACCUGAUUGUUAGAUCAAUAAAUUUGAAUAAAGCUUUGUUUCAUGUGUUGUUGACUUGUAUAUGUAUUUAUUUAUUGUGAUGAUUACUUUUAUUCAUUCUAUAACUCAUUUAUGUUUCCUAUUGUCUGUAAAUAAAAUAUAUUUAUUUUA